GUCACCUCCUUUUCCUUGCCACCGUACAUUAUCAAUUCAUCUUCAUCACAUCUCAUUUUAACAUUGCAGGGAGAAAACCAUCAAAUUAGAGUCAACCGGAGCAACUUGCGGAAAACGACGGUGGUACCGGGGUUUGCGGUCACCGCAGCGGUGAUCAACAGUCGUACUCAAGUGUUGGCUAGGGUUUCGGUUGCCGUUUCAGGCAGAAACCGAUGGUGACGGCGGUUAGGGUAUCACCACAUGCGUUUCUUUUUUUCCGGUGUGAGCACACGUGCUCGCCAUUCAACACCUCAUCUCAUCCCAUCUGCUUCUUGAUUCAGAUUAAGAGAGACUAGCAGGAGAGAAAGAUAACUGUUCUGGAAAUCGAAACUUGGUUAAGCUACAAAUUUAUUGAGAUUAAGAGAGACUAGCAGGAAAAAAAGAAGGGCCGGUUUCCUCACAAUGGUCACCGGUCACCGAUCUUCGGUCGGAUUUCGAUUUAUGCAACCAUUGUGGCUGAGUUAGGGUUGGCGGUGAACAUUGACCACAAUCAUGGCUGAAUUAGGGUUCUUCUAUAUUCCUGCCAGAAGCUAGGGUUUCGAUGCUUUUCCUGCGACACAGGUAAGUUCUAUGGUCUUUAUGGUUGCAUUUUGUUUGUAUUUUACCAUUCCAAUCAAAUCCCUUUCCUGCAACUAAUUCAUUGUAUAUAUUUAUUUUUCUUGGUGUCGAUCUUUAUGAGUACCAGUGGAUAAAUAGAGUUUUCAACAUUCAAGGAUCAAGGUAAAUUAUGUAUUAAAAAUGUUAAUUUAUUACUUGUAGAAAUGUAAAUUCAAAACCAUAACUUUAUUUGGAUUGAUGAUGUCAACGAUGGCUGCUAGCGGCUGAAUGAGACACUCAGGCAAGCUUUGCAACGGCUUUACAUGACCCGGGCCUCUUAUAGAGAUGCACUCAUACAAGGUUAUCAAGAAGGCAUUCAACAAGUGAUGGAGAAAAAGGAUAAUUUGAUUUGAGCUUGAACAGAACCAUGAAGAUGACCAACAAUGUUGUAGCCAAAUCAAGCUACGUGUAAUAUUCCAGAACAAAACUACAGUAUAAUCUAACAGCCAAGAACAUAGCUGUUAUAUGUUUUCAGUGAUAGCCCUAUAUUCAUGCAACACCAAAUCAGAUUAACAAUCUUGCAUACUUUACAUAUAACUUAAUAUUUAUGCUCAUUAAUUAAAGUAACAAAUAUUUACAUCAAUUAUGAAAUUAAUAUUUAACUAGGGGUGGGCAAUUGUGCGUCGGGUCGAAACUGGACCAGAUGGCUUAGGACUGAACUGGAUAAAUAUAGGGUGGGUGGGUCUUAGGCUGGUCAGGUAGUUUGAUCCCAGGUUUGGUUAGACUGAACCCAUUUUUUUUGCUGAGCCAAUAAUCUUUGCUUUUGAAUUGAUUUGUAGGACAAGGUUUAUUUCCAUUGUUCCAUAAAAGUCAACUUGAUCAAUCUUUCAGGUGCACACUACCAAACUCCACAGAUGAAGAAAGUGACGAACUCUCAAACCACUGAUCAUAUGAACAGAGAUAACAAUUAGCCACUUAAUUUGUUUGUUUGUUUGUUCGCUUGAGUGGUUAAUUAGUGUAUAAAAAGAAGCGAUAACGGAUUUGAUUUUUAUAGGUCCUGGUUGUUCGUUGGUUAUAGAAAGGGCGUUUAUGAAGCACCCUCCGUUUAAACAAAGUGGUAGGUUGUGGUGGAGAUUGAUUAUAGCUAGAAUAAGGCUAUGACAUUGACUUUUGGGACAUCAAAGAUUAGGGUUCAUGAAAACCUAUAUGCCAGAGCAACUGGCAUAUCGAAUUGAGGCACAGUAUUAGUGGGGAAAGGAAUGAUGGAAUCAAGAGAACUGACGGAGAUUAAAGGCGAAGCGUACAGGUGGUAGAAGAGGUCAAAGGCGAAGCGUACAGGUGGUAGAGGAGAUUAAAGGAGAAGCGUAUAGGUGGGCGAAGGGUUGAAGUCAAGUUCUGGGUCUGAACCAAGAGAAUUGGAGCAAUUUCACCAAAGUGCGCUUUGGCUAAUACACAUGGGUUUCUUUUUUUUGUACUAUUUGGCUCCGUCUUUCGUUGUUUUGGUGUACUGCUCUCCUUAGCAGCUUGCUAAGGCUCGGUUGUUGUUUCCUGUGGUAAUAAAGUGAUUCUUUUGGCUGGCUAAAUAAAAAAA